GUGAUUCUAUGUCUUGACAAUUACUAGGAAUUUGCUCAGAAAUCUUGAAGAAUCACCAUAAAUCAUCCCAACAACAAUUAGAGUGUGGUUCCACAUCCUAACGAUCAUUAGAAAUUUACUCAGAAAUUCUGAAGAAUCACCAUAAAUUAUCCUGACAAUAGUUAGGAGCUGUGUUUUCAAAAAUGCUUUUGGGGUGAGUUAGGCCGAAUCUCGGGG
rnacentral:lncRNA from 1 species